rnacentral:tmRNA from 1 species
GUAGAGCUCAUUGUGGCGGGCUUGCGGACGGGGGUUCGAUUCCCCCCGGCUCCACCA